CUAAGAACAAAAUCAAUUCUUAUAUGAUAUGAAGAAGAAAGAAUUGAGCACACGAUUCCCAUUCUCUCUGCUUUCUCCGUAUCUCACUUCCCCCCUUAAACUAAGGCGCAUCUCUUGGGUUAUUCUGGUUUCAAAGAAAAGAAUAUAAAAUCAAGAACAAGGAGAUAUAUCCAAGAACUAAACGAUGAAGAUGAAGUGAGGAAGAGAAAUCCAACAGGGGAUGGAUGCUUUUGUCUUUUGAGGGGAAUGUUGUUUGGCUCGAGGCCACCAACUCAUCAUCUUCUUUCAUGAUUGAUUUACUUGAAAUCAUCAGAUCCAGAAUCAAUAGUGACAUUGAUGAUUACUAACGAUCGAUUUACUAUCAGUCGAUCUUUGUUUUUAUUAUGUUGGUGCCGUCGGACCAGGCUUCAUUCCCCCCAAUUACAGGUAUCCUAAUCGACAUCUCUCUCACUCUCACUGAUCCAUCAUCUUGAUGCAGAUCUCAGAUAGCGCUCGGAUGGUGGUGCUGUCGAUUGAUAAAAUAUUUACAAAACAAUGUCACGAAUUACAUCAGGUUCAAUUGAAUUAACACACUCUCAAGUUGGAUUGAUAGACAAUUCGGUGGAAGAAACAAAGUUAUCGGGAAGCUUCCAUCAUGCGCAAUUGACAGGACUUGUAUAUGCAAAGAGAGGACUUGGCAUAUGUUUGGCGCUGGAAUCUGAUUCUGUAGGUGUGAAGGGACCAAAGCUUUCAACUUACUGUAUAGGCCACAUGAUGAACUGUUGUUUCUAUGAAAACAGUCCAAGUUUCAUCAAAGAAAAAAUGUUUGUGUUCUAGAAACGGUAUAGGUAUUUUACUUGAUCUGAGCUUAGCUGAGUGUCCCCAUCGUAAUUAAAUGCUGAAAUUAAAUGUUUGAUUUAAACGGUA